rnacentral:tRNA from 2 species
GGAGGCGUGGUGUAGCUGGUCUAACAUACCUGCCUGUCACGCAGGAGAUCGCGGGUUCGAAUCCCGUCGCUUCCGCCA